rnacentral:rRNA from 1 species
UACAGAGGUCUCAAGCGUUGUUCGGAUUCAUUGGGCGUAAAGGGUGCGUAGGCGGCGCGGUAAGUCGGGUGUGAAAUCUUGGAGCUUAACUCCGAAACUGCAUUCGAUACUGCCGUGCUUGAGGACUGGAGAGGAGACUGGAAUUUACGGUGUAGCGGUGAAAUGCGUAGAUAUCGUAAGGAAGACCAGGUGGCGAAGGCGGGUGCUGGGCUGACACUGACGUGGAAGCGCGAAAGCUAGGGGAGCGAACGGG